UGGUGGAGUGAUUUGUCUGGUUAAUUCCGUUAACGAACGAGACCUCGACCUGCUAAAUAGUUUGGCGAAUCCUUCGGGAUUUGUCCAUAACUUCUUAGAGGGACUAUCGGUGAUUUAGCCGAUGGAAGUUCGAGGCAAUAACA
rnacentral:rRNA from 1 species